AGUCGACGCGGGUUCAAAAGACCCCCAGUGGGUCAUUUUUCACGCGGCCCCACAUGCCCUCCCUCCCCACGGUCAGGGUCGAUCGAUACUUCCCCUGGAGCUUAUCUAGUUUGUCCACAGCCUGCUAUGUCUACAUAAAGACUCCAUGGCCUCAGAAAGCUCACACAAAAACCAGCGACCACCUGCUCAACUUUGCCAGCUUCUGGACUUUUACCCACUUUGGAAGGCGUGUGAGCGGGUGAGACGGGACGCUAACGUGGACGCACUCUUUGCAAGGGCUGCCACCACCCAUCCGGAUUGCAGAAUUCCUAAGCGGAGCCAAAAUCCUGCAGAGCUGUGGAGUGUGACAAUGGUGUUUGUGUCCUGUCCAAUCAAACGCCAUUAUCACACUAAAUAGCUACAGCGGGGGACACACACCUGCUUUUUACACCUGCACCCUUUUUGGGGUUUCAUUUAACCUUUUUGAAAUAACAUGGACUCAAAUCUGACUUGGAGCGUACUGACUUCAAUGUAAGACCACUUUGAAUAUAAGACCACGUCCUUUCGUCACUUUGGACAAAAUGGAUCAUGUUUUCAUAUCGAUUAAAUAGCGACCAAUAAAAAAUUAUAUUUCUCA